AUUGAACGCUGGCGGCAGGCUUAACACAUGCAAGUCGAGCGAGCGGCGGACGGGUGAGUAAUGUCUGGGAAACUGCCUGAUGGAGGGGGAUAACUACUGGAAACAGUAGCUAAUAACGCAUACCAUCAGAUGGGCCCAGAUUGGAUUAGCUAGUAGGUGUGGUAAUGGCUCACCUAGGCGACGAUCCAUAGCUGGUUUGAGAGGAUGACCAGCCACACUGGACCUGAGACACGGUCCAGACUCCUACGGGAGGCAGCAGUGGUGAAUAUUGUACAAUGGGCGCAAGCCUGAUGCAGCCAUCCCGCGUGUGUGUAGAAGGCCUUCGGGUUGUAAAGCACUUUCAGCGAGGAAGCGUUACUCGCAGAAGAAGCACCGGCUACCUCCGUGCCAGCAGCCGCGGUAAUAC
rnacentral:rRNA from 1 species